UACGUAGGGGGCAAGCGUUGUCCGGAAUUAUUGGGCGUAAAGAGCGCGCAGGCGGUCUUUUACGUCUGAUGUGAAAGCCCACGGCUCAACCGUGGAGGGUCAUUGGAAACUGGGGGACUUGAGUGCAGGAGAGAAGAGUGGAAUUCCACGUGUAGCGGUGAAAUGCGUAGAGAUGUGGAGGAACACCAGUGGCGAAGGCGACUCCUUGGCCUGUAACUGACGCUGAGGCGCGAAAGCGUGGGGAGCAAACAGG
rnacentral:rRNA from 1 species